GCGGGAAUUCGAUUGUCCCAGCUGCUGAGGAAAUACAGAGGGUGCAAGCGUUAAUCGGAUUUACUGGGCGUAAAGCGCGCGUAGGCGGCUAAUUAAGUUAAAUGUGAAAUCCCCGAGCUUAACUUGGGAAUUGCAUUCGAUACUGGUUAGCUAGAGUGUGGGAGAGGAUGGUAGAGUUCCAGGUGUAGCGGUGAAAUGCGUAGAGAUCUGGAGGAAUACCGAUGGCGAAGGCAGCCAUCUGGCCUAACACUGACGCUGAGGUGCGAAAGCAUGGGGAGCAAACAGGAUUAGAUACCCUGGUAGUCCAUGCCGUAAACGAUGUCUACUAGCCGUUGGGGCCUUUGAGGCUUUAGUGGCGCAGCUAACGCGAUAAGUAGACCGCCUGGGGAGUACGGUCGCAAGACUAAAACUCAAAUGAAUUGACGGGGGCCCGCACGAGCGGUGGAGCAUGUGGUUUAAUUCGAUGCAACGCGAAGAACCUUACCUGGCCUUGACAUAGUAAGAACUUUCCAGAGAUGGAUUGGUGCCUUCGGGAACUUACAUACAGGUGCUGCAUGGCUGUCGUCAGCUCGUGUCGUGAGAUGUUGGGUUAAGUCCCGCAACGAGCGCAACCCUUUUCCUUAUUUGCCAGCGAGUAAUGUCGGGAACUUUAAGGAUACUGCCAGUGACAAACUGGAGGAAGGCGGGGACGACGUCAAGUCAUCAUGGCCCUUACGGCCAGGGCUACACACGUGCUACAAUGGUCGGUACAAAGGGUUGCUGCCUAGCGAUAGGAUGCCUAAUCUCAAAAAGCCGAUCGUAGUCCGGAUUGGAGUCUGCAACUCGACUCCAUGAAGUCGGAAUCGCUAGUAAUCGCGGAUCAGAAUGCCGCGGUGAAUACGUUCCCGGGCCUUGUACACACCGCCCGUCACACCAUGGGAGUUUGUUGCGCCAGAAGUAGCUAGCCUAACUGCAAAGAG
rnacentral:rRNA from 1 species